AGAAGAGCAGGGACAUUGUGCUGGCUCUCCUCCCUGUGUUCUCCUCACCUUAAGUUGCAUCUUCACAGGGAAACUGUUCAGAAUUCCAGGAAAGAGGAUACCCGCAGUUCUCCCUGCCUCCCAGCCCACAGCUGAAGUCAUAAGGAAGUUUCUGAUGAAGCUUAAUUGAAGAUACUUUCCUAAAUGGACAUAUCGACUUCUGCAUGAUCAUCUGUAGACUAAGGAACCAAGGAACCAGCCACAAAGCAGCAGCAUCUCCUCUUAAGAUAAGUCAGCUCUGUCACUCAGCCCUCGUUUUUGUGAAAACUGUCAAAGAAUUUCCAAGAGUGAACUCCAGAAGGAUUGAUGCUCCCGUAUAUAUGGGCUGCUGAUUCACUUUGGAGACAUUAUCAGCUUGCCAUAAUUUGUCAUUGCAUAUUCAUUCUUGACAUUCUGAAGGUUCUGCUGAGGCUCUUAAAUGGACCUUAGGCUUGGAGGUAGUAAAAACGUCAGCAGAAGAUGGAAUGAUGGAAGUGCUGUGGCCACACUGAGGUUUCUGCACCUGCCAUGCAGUGCCUGCUCACCUGUUCCCCAGAGAGCCUCCUGCUACAGAUUUAUGAUGGGAAGAGUGAUGAAGAGAGGAAACAAUCAAGUCUACAAAGCCAAAAUGGUGAAUGAGAAAUGGUAACAGAAGGCAGAAUGGAAACCUGAAGCUUCCUCAGUCUCCUUUUGCUAUGGCUUCCUGAAACGGUGCUGUGAAUGUAACAUGGAAUCAAGAUCAGAUGAACUGCCCUUAUAAAACGCAUCACUUGUUCAACCCUGGAUUCCUGAAAUGCACCUAGGCCUUAUCUGGGAAAAACAAAUACCAGGAAAAAUAGCUCUAAUGUCAUGAGGCUAUUUUAGAUCAAGACUCCUUGUUUUCUAAGCCACUUUCAUCCUGUUCCUAUAUUGUUCAUCACUUUCUUUUCUAUUGUUACAGAGAUACUGUGUGCUGACAGCAAUUGGAUCCCUUGUCUGAGUUUGAAAAAUCAAGAGUGCAACACUUGUUUUUUUUUAACUUCAGUAAGCACUUGUAUUUAAUACUCUGCCACUGUGAGUGAUUAAAAAGCUAGACUGAGUAAGGGUUAAAGGUACACCACCACAGACAGCAACUAUUUGGAUUUCAUUUGUCUUGUGUUUGUUCUCACCCUUUGAAUGCUGGUAUCACCAGGAGAGGACACCUGUGUUUACAUAAAAGAAUAAAUAAGAAAUGUG
rnacentral:lncRNA from 1 species